ACUGAUCUAGCCUAGUGGUCAGGGUGUAGCGCUGCAACAUAGUUGAAUGAGGUUCGAGUCCCCGGUCAGUU